GUAGCUGAGGCUGCGGGGUGGGGGUGGGGGAGGGGAUGGUGGAGUGGGGGUGUUGGGCCGGACGCGCUGGAGGGUUGCCAAGGGCGCCUCCCAGACCUCUCCUCCAUCACCUGGAGCCAACUCCCUUUCGUGGAGGGAGGAGCAUCUCCGACCUGAGGCUGGACCAAGCCCGUUAGGGCCCCUGGGUGGCCCAUAGGGCUCCUUGGGAAACCCAAGGAAGGCUUAGUUCCUCCGCGUCCUGGGAUGUAGGUCUGAGUGUUCGUGCCCAGGCUUCAGCUUUACAUGGCAAUGCCAGAACUUUGGGGGCCACGCAGGAACAUACGUACUCUGCACAUGGAAAUGCCUGCACCUACAAUGCCUGCUUACACUUUCUGAUGCAACUACAGGAUUCCCACUGCAGCACAGAAUAAAUAAAUAAAAUCUUAAAAAAAUAAAAGUGAUGAGAAAAAUGUCCUCGGGUGAAGAUUAAAGACAUUUUUAAAUAAAUAAAUAAAUAAACAAGUUAAUUAAUUUAAAACAGAGAAAGUGACACCAGAGAUCUCUGUCCACUCAAGCACAGGGGAAAGGUCAUGUGAGGACACAGCAAGAAGUUGUCUGCAGGCCAGGAAGAGAGUUCUCACUGGAAUCCACCGGUGAUGACACCUUGAUCUUGGACUUGUAGCCUCCAGACCAGAAAAGAAAUUUGUCGUUUAAACCACCCCACCUGUGGUGUUCUGUGAUGGCAGCCUGAGCUGACUCAUACACUGCGUUCUUUCAUCUGAAAAGCAGGAAUAAAUCCAGUCCUUGAAUUGUGAAGCUAUUGCGAGAAUCCGUUGAGGAAAUACACGUGGGAUGCCUGCCCGUUCAGUUUUCCUACAGCACCUUCAGCACAGUGUCUGGUGUAUAGAGGAUGUUUAAUAAAUACCUACCGAAUAAACACAUCCAUCCGUCAGAAAAAGAAGCUUUCAAAUUAAAAAGGAGCACAUGUCUCUGAGCUUUUCACUAACCUCCAUUUCCUUGGUCACUGAUCAUGACUCACCAGCAAUGACAGCAGGCAUGAAGGAUUUAAGGAGAGUGUCCCAAGGACAAUUUCCUGUUUUUAAUUGGAUCUGCCCAUUAAUGUGGUGUCUUAUGAGAAUUGGGAAAGGGCUGGUCUGGCUGACCCCAGGACAAGCUCAGGGGGAGCAAGCCCCGGUGAGUACUCAGCUCCUCGCUUUCCAUCUACCCUUCUCUCUUGCCUCCACCUCACCACGCCUUUCCUGGACACAGCCACCAUUGGAGCGGUGGCUGCUGUGUCUGGGCCCUGCCGGCCCACCCAGUGGGACCGUGCCUCCACCACCCUGUGAGCACGAGGGCUCACCCACUACCAGCUGCCCUUGGCCAUCGACUCACCCAGCCAUGUACCCAGGGACACUAGCCCCGUCCUCAGACUCUUAACUCCUGCUGCCCUGUCCCAGGCUGCUGUCACACAGCUCCAGGGGGCUCCAUUCACAUG